AUUAUUUACACUGAAUAAAAUGUUUUUGUGUUUUUAAAAUGUAAAACAAUAACUAGAAUAGAGUUUUAUCAAAUUUGCAUGUUUCUGUUUAUAUUUAUGUGUGACGAUUUGAAAGAAAUAAGUUCUUCAGCGAAGGCCGUAUGAUACCCUGUCAGUUAUUUUGAUCAGACCUUCAAAAAUUGACUAGUGGACAAAAGUACGAUACCUAUGCUGCAACAUUAGUAAACAUAAAAACUUGUGAAAUCGUAAAAUCGAUGUGCCGUUAACUGUUUUACAUUCCUCAGGGCGUUUGAUAAGUGUAACACUCCUUAGAGGGCAGGUUUCUUUGUGAGGUCGAAUAGGAAUCGUCAAAGAUUGACUCCGUGUGGGGCUGGGCUUCGCCCCCGCUGCGGUUGCAGCUGGGUAACUCACGCGGACACAAAAGCGAAACACAAGCUGAAUCUCGCGGGCCGCAUGCUGCCCUUUGGGCUUUCGGUCCGGCCCGACGCCAUAUUGUUUGAGGCCCGGAACAUGAAGAUGGGGGAGGGCGGGUCGCCGGGCGGCGGCGGCGGCGGCGGGGCGCGGCUGUCGCACACGUCGGAGAAACACCCGCGCGCCAUCCUCGGCGAGCUGUCGGCGCUGCGCCGCCACCGGGAGCUGUGCGAUGUGGUGCUCAAUGUCGCUAACAGGAAACUCUUUGCUCACCGGGUGAUCCUGUCAGCAUGCAGCCCGUACUUCCGCGCGAUGUUCACGGGCGAGCUGGCCGAGUCUCGCGCCACCGAGGUGACCAUCCGCGACGUGGAUGAACAGGCCAUGGAGCAGCUCGUCGAGUUCUGCUACACUGCCCACAUCGUCGUCGAGGAGAGCAAUGUCCAGGCGUUGCUCCCGGCAGCAUGCCUGCUGCAACUCCAGGAGAUCCAGGACGUGUGCUGCGAGUUCCUCAAGCGGCAGCUGGACUGCUCCAACUGCCUCGGCAUACGCGCCUUCGCCGACACACACUCUUGCCGAGAACUGCUCCGGAUCGCUGACAAAUUCACACAACAGAACUUUCCAGAGGUAAUGGAAAGCGAAGAGUUCCUACUGCUGCCGGCGGCGCAGCUGAUCGACAUCGUGUCGUCGGACGAGCUGAACGUGCGCUCGGAGGAACAGACCUUCCAGGCUGUCAUGUCCUGGGUCAAGUAUAAUGUGGCUGAGAGGAGACAGCAUCUGGCACAGGUCCUACAACACGUGCGGCUGCCACUGCUAAGCCCCAAGUUCCUAGUGGGCACAGUAUCCUCAGAACUGCUGAUCCGGUCCGACGACGCCUGCCGCGACCUGCUGGAUGAGGCCAAGAACUACCUGCUGCUGCCCCAGGAGAGGCCGCUCAUGCAGGGACCUAGGACAAGGCCUAGGAAACCUACGAGACGAGGAGAAGUCCUAUUCGCUGUGGGCGGAUGGUGUUCAGGCGACGCCAUCGCAUCGGUGGAGCGGUUCGACCCGCAGACGUCGGAGUGGAAGAUGGUGGCGCCCAUGUCCAAGCGGCGCUGCGGCGUCGGCGUCGCCGUGCUGCACGACCUGCUGUACGCCGUCGGCGGCCAUGACGGACAGAGCUAUCUCAACAGCAUCGAGCGGUAUGAUCCGCAGACUAAUCAGUGGUGCGGGUCGGUGGCGCCGACGUCGUCGUGCCGCACGUCUGUCGGCGUGGCCGUGCUGGAGGGCGCCCUGUACGCCGUCGGCGGCCAGGACGGCGUGCAGUGCCUCAACCACGUCGAGCGCUACGACCCCAAGGAGAACCGCUGGACCAAGGUGGCGCCGAUGAACACGCGGCGGCUGGGCGUGGCGGUGGCGGUGCUGGGCGGGCAGCUGUACGCCGUGGGCGGGUCGGACGGCGCGGCGCCGCUGAGCUCGGUGGAGCGGUACUGCCCGCGCAGCAACAAGUGGAGCCAGGCCGCCAGCAUGUCCACGCGCCGCAAGCACCUCGGCUGCGCCGUCUUCGACGGACAGAUCUACGCCGUCGGCGGCCGCGACGACUGCACCGAGCUCUCCUCUGCCGAGCGGUCAGUCGCACACUCAUUAGGGUUCCUAAACCUCAAGGUCUUAUCAAGAAACAUAGGCAUUCCAUCACUGUCUCGCCGGCUGAUGACACGAACCUUACGAGCCGCACACGGACACGUGGUCGCCGGUGGUGGCGAUGACGUCACGACGCUCGGGCGUCGGGCUGGCCGUCGUCAACGGGCAGCUGUAUGCCGUCGGCGGCUUCGACGGCACCGCCUAUCUUAAGUCUAUAGAGGUGUUCGACCCGGAAUCGAACCAAUGGCGAUUAUGUGGCGCGAUGAACUACCGGCGGCUCGGCGGCGGCGUCGGCGUCAUGCGAGCGCCGCAUCAUGACAACCAUUAUAUAUGGAACCGAAAAGACUCAGUAGUGUGAGGUGG
rnacentral:misc_RNA from 1 species